rnacentral:rRNA from 1 species
GACGAACGCUGGCGGCGUGCCUAACACAUGCAAGUAGAACGCGGAAGGCGGAGCUUGCUUCUCCGGAGGAGUUGCGAACGGGUGAGUAACGCGUAGGUAACCUGCCUGGUAGCGGGGGAUAACUAUUGGAAACGAUAGCUAAUACCGCAUAAGAGUAGAUGUCGCAUGACAUGUGCUUAAAAGGUGCAACUGCAGGACUACCAGAAGGACAUGCGUUGUAUGAGCUAGUUGGUGAGGGAACGGAUGACCAAGGAAACGAUACAUAGGAGACCUGAGAGGGUACGCGGCCACACUGGGACUGGGACACGCCCCACACCCCUACGGGUGGCACCCGUAGCGGAUCCUCGGCAAUGGCCGGAAGUCUGACCGAGCAACGCCGCGCGAGUGCCUAAUCUUUUCGGGUCGUGUAGCUCUGUUAUACGAGAGGAACGAGUAUGUGUGUGGCACGUUCACACUGUGACGGUAUCUUAACAAAAAGCUCCGGCUAACUACGUG